rnacentral:rRNA from 1 species
AAUCAUGGCUCAGAACGAACGCUGGCGGCGUGCUUAACACAUGCAAGUCUAAAGGGAAUGUCGGCUUCGGCUGACUAGUACCUUGGCGAACGGGUGAGUAACACGUGGGUAAUCUGCCCUUGGGUCUGGGAUAACCUUGCGAAAGCGAGGCUAAUACCGGAUAAGACCACGCUCUGCUCGCAGAGUGCGGUAAAAGGUGGCCUCUUCAUGAAAGCUAUCACCUGAGGAUGAGCCCGCGGCCUAUUAGCUAGUUGGUAGGGUAAUGGCCUACCAAGGCGACGAUGGGUAGCCGGCCUGAGAGGGUGUACGGCCACACUGGCACUGAGAUACGGGCCAGACUCCUACGGGAGGCAGCAGUGGGGAAUUUUGCGCAAUGGGGGAAACCCUGACGCAGCAACGCCGCGUGAGUGAUGAAGGCCUUCGGGUCGUAAAGCUCUUUUAGUGGGGAAGAAGCCCUGCAGGAAUUAAUAUUGCGGUCUGACGGUACCCACAAAAAAUUCGGCUAAAC